GUGGGUAUAGCUCAGUGGUAGAGUUUAUGCACGAGGUCCUGGGUUCAAUCCCCAGUACCUCCA
rnacentral:tRNA from 1 species